rnacentral:rRNA from 1 species
UACAGAGGUCUCAAGCGUUGUUCGGAUUCAUUGGGCGUAAAGGGUGUGUAGGUGGCGCGCUAAGUCAGGUGUGAAAUUUCGGAGCUUAACUCCGAAACUGCAUUUGAUACUGGCGUGCUUGAGGACUGGAGAGGAGACUGGAAUUCAUGGUGUAGCAGUGAAAUGCGUAGAGAUUAUGAGGAAGACCAGUGGCGAAGGCGGGUCUCUGGACAGUUCCUGACACUGAGGCACGAAGGCCAGGGGAGCAAACGGG